CUCACCUGCAGGGUGUCCUCCUGGCUCUGGGACUGGACAGGUGCUGGCUGCCUCACAAUGUAGUUGAUCUGCCCCACAAUGGUUUGUUGUAGAUGCUGAGGAGAUUUGGUCUGACUCAGCUGCAGGCUGGGCUGCUGAGCCUGGAGGAGCAGCUCCAAGUCCUUCUGCAUCUCCUCCAGCUCAAACUUAUGGUGCAUUAUGUCCACAUUCUGGGAACAGGCAGGCCCAGGAGGAUUCUCAUGUUGACCCGAAGCCAGAUGCUGGGAUGGAGGUAGAGACAGCCCCAGAAGGCAUCAGGUAAGGGCCCUACCACAACGCCUGAAGUCGACCUCUAACCCAUAAUUCAGAGAGUAUCACCUUCAAGAAACAUGCUGCACCCACUCUUCAGAUGCUCAGUCUCUGCUAGAAAGACAGACUUCAAUUCAAGACACUCCUAAGAUGAUUGCCAAAUUUGCCCCUGGCUGCCUGCAGGCUUACCUGUCGCCCUGCUGCCCUGUGAUUAGAGCAACACCUUGGAGAGAAGUCAGAGGAGAGAAGUCAGAGGAGCGACAGCUCACCUGAGAUGCUCCUGCAAGAGAGAGCUUGGUUGACUCCUCCUGUUCCUGUUUAUCUCGAAGCCUCUGCAGCAAUUUUCCCAAACUGAACAGCAAGAGGGAGACCUCAAAGAGGCGACUCUCUUCCUAGCUGCAUCUCCUUCCUAAUCCUCUGGGUGCCUUGGAAUAGAAGCUCAGAAGGAAGAAAACGAGAUUUUCAACUUUCAGGAACUAGCUCUGUCGCCCUCUGCACAGCUCGGAAGGCCAUCACUCUCAGCCUUUUAGGACUCGAUCCAAAAAUCCUUCAGCCCUCCAUGUUCCCCAAAAUGACAGUGCUCAUGUGUGGCUGGAACCUGCCCCGAUCCGGCAGCUCAUUUAAAUAGAGCUCAUCACAACAACAGUGUUGGUGGAGAAGGAAGAAAAUACCCAAUUAAUUGCCACCUACCCCCAAACAACAAAUACAACCAUAGGAACCCUGAGAAUCUUGAAGAUGAGCCAGCACAAGGUCCUGUCGGCACAAUGAGCACAUCUGUGCUACAGCUUCCAUGUGUCCAUCCCGGGAGCAGAGUUUCUGGUCAGCUAGUGGCUGCCUCUUGAAGUUCAUGAACGUGUCCAUGCCCUUUCUGGUGCCUCUGCCUGGGACUGAGGCUUUUCCAUUGACAUCCUCAGGUGUGAAGCAGCGUGUACAGCGAGCAAGCUCCACUCCCUGGCCUUUUGAAUGCAAGGGUUGGUGUUUCAAACUCCCAGGCCCCAGUGAUUCUCUUGAAGAGUUGGUUCUAUACGUACAUGCCACCACACUUAGCUUAAACUAGCUUUUCUUCUUUUUUUUCUUCUUAACUGCAAAUGCCUAGUGAAGAAUACACAGAUUGGGCUGGGGAUGUGGCUCAAGUGGUAGCGCGCUCUACUGG